rnacentral:rRNA from 1 species
AUGCACGCCUACUACGCGGCCGCCGCCUCCGCCGCCGGGAUCCCCUAUGCCGCGUGGCCGCUGCCGCCGCAGGCCCAGCAGCACGGCCUGGUGGCGGCCGGGCCGGGGGCCGCGUAUGGCGCGCCGGUGCCGUUCCCCAUGUACCACCACCCCGCGGCGGCGUACUACGCGCACGCGCACGCCUCCAUGGCCGCGGGGGUGCCUUACAUGGCCGGCGAGUCUGCCUCGGCGGCAGGGAAAGGGAAGAGGGUGGGGAAGACACGACGUGUCCCUUCCGGCGAGAUCAAUUCCAGCUCCGGGAGCGGCGAUGCCGGGAGCCAGGGGUCAUCGGAGAAGGGAGAUACGGGCGCCAAUCAGAAGGGCUCAUCAUCAUCUGCGAAGAGGAGGAAGUCCGGCGCUGCAAAUACAGAAGAUGGGUUAUCAGUUAUCACAAACCAUAAUUCCUGGAUACAAGGUGAGCCAUCUCAGGCUGCCACAGUGCAGAAUGCUGUAACCGAGCCGCCAUUGGAAGACAAGGAGAGGUCUACAUCCAAACUGUUAGUUUUGGCACCUGGGAGGGCGGCACUCACCAGUGCUGCACCGAACUUGAAUAUUGGGAUGGAUCCCUUGAGCGCUUCUCCAUCCUCCAUAGUACAGGGGGAGGUGAAUGCCGCAGCUUCUUCCCAGAGUAACGCUUCACUGUCUCAGAUGGUAUAG